AUACACGCACACACACACACACUCACGAC
rnacentral:rRNA from 1 species